rfam:Triticum aestivum genome assembly, contig: Triticum_aestivum_CS42_TGACv1_scaffold_001183_1AL
AUUAUACUCCCUCUGUUCCGAAUUACUUGUCUCGGAUAUGGAUGUAUCUAGAACUAACAUACAUCUAGAUACAUCCAUUUCUACGACAAGUAAUUCCGAACAAAGGAAGUAGUUU